AGCGAACGCUGGCGGCAGGCCUAACACAUGCAAGUCGAACGAAGUCUUCGGACUUAGUGGCGGACGGGUGAGUAACACGUGGGAACGUACCUUUUGGUUCGGAACAACUCAGGGAAACUUGAGCUAAUACCGGAUGAGCCCUUAGGGGGAAAGAUUUAUCGCCGAAAGAGCGGCCCGCGUUAGAUUAGCUAGUUGGUGAGGUAAAGGCUCACCAAGGCUACGAUCUAUAGCUGGUCUGAGAGGAUGAUCAGCCACACUGGGACUGAGACACGGCCCAGACUCCUACGGGAGGCAGCAGUGGGGAAUUGUGCGCAAUGGGCGAAAGCCUGACGCAGCCAUGCCGCGUGAACGAUGAAGGUCUUAGGAUUGUAAAAUUCUUUUACCAGGGACGAUAAUGACGGUACCUGGAGAAAAAGCCCCGGCUAACUUCGUGCCAGCCGCCGCAGUAACAC
rnacentral:rRNA from 1 species